UGGGAGGCUUUGAAGCGUGGACGCCAGUCUGCGUGGAGCCGACCUUGAAAUACCACCCUUUAAUGUUUGAUGUUCUAACGUGGACCCGUAAUCCGGGUUGCGGACAGUGUCUGGUGGGUAGUUUGACUGGGGCGGUCUCCUCCUAAAGAGUAACGGAGGAGCACGAAGGUUGGCUAAUCCUGGUCGGACAUCAGGAGGUUAGUGCAAUGGCAUAAGCCAGCUUGACUGCGAGCGUGACGGCGCGAGCAGGUGCGAAAGCAGGUCAUAGUGAUCCGGUGGUUCUGAAUGGAAGGGCCAUCGCUCAACGGAUAAAAGGUACUCCGGGGAUAACAGGCUGAUACCGCCCAAGAGUUCAUAUCGACGGCGGUGUUUGGCACCUCGAUGUCGGCUCAUCACAUCCUGGGGCUGAAGUAGGUCCCAAGGGUAUGGCUGUUCGCCAUUUAAAGUGGUACGCGAGCUGGGUUUAGAACGUCGUGAGACAGUUCGGUCCCUAUCUGCCGUGGGCGCUGGAGAACUGAGGGGGGCUGCUCCUAGUACGAGAGGACCGGAGUGGACGCAUCACUGGUGUUCGGGUUGUCAUGCCAAUGGCACUGCCCGGUAGCUAAAUGCGGAAGAGAUAAGUGCUGAAAGCAUCUAAGCACGAAACUUGCCCCGA
rnacentral:rRNA from 1 species